rnacentral:rRNA from 1 species
GACGAACGCUGGCGGCGUGCUUAACACAUGCAAGUCGAACGCUGAAGCUUGGUGCUUGCACUGGGUGGAUGAGUGGCGAACGGGUGAGUACUACGUGAGUAACCUGCCCUUGACUCUGGGAUAAGCCUGGGAAACUGGGUCUAAUACUGGAUAUGACAUGCCACUGCAUGGUGGUGUGUGGAAAGGGUUUUACUGGUUUUGGAUGGGCUCACGGCCUAUCAGCUUGUUGGUGGGGUAAUGGCCUACCAAGGCGACGACGGGUAGCCGGCCUGAGAGGGUGACCGGCCACACUGGGACUGAGACACGGCCCAGACUCCUACGGGAGGCAGCAGUGGGGAAUAUUGCACAAUGGGCGGAAGCCUGAUGCAGCGACGCCGCGUGAGGGAUGACGGCCUUCGGGUUGUAAACCUCUUUCAGCACGGAAGAAGCGAGAGUGACGGUACGUGCAGAAGAAGCGCCGGCUAACUACGUG